rnacentral:rRNA from 1 species
UACGUAGGUGGCGAGCGUUGUCCGGAUUUACUGGGCGUAAAGGGAGCGUAGGCGGACUUUUAAGUGAGAUGUGAAAUACUCGGGCUCAACUUGAGUGCUGCAUUUCAAACUAGAAGUCUAGAGUGCAGGAGAGGAGAAUGGAAUUCCUAGUGUAGCGGUGAAAUGCGUAGAGAUUAGGAAGAACACCAGUGGCGAAGGCGAUUCUCUGGACUGUGACUGACGCUGAGGCUCGAAAGCGUGGGGAGCAAACAGG